CAGAUAAUGGUGGUUUUGUCAUAGAAAUGGAGGGGACAGAUUUGGAAUGAGGGGACACAGACAGAGAAACACUGGCACAGUCCAAGGUGUUUUCUCAGUGUGGAGUCAACAUUGAACAUCUUUCUCCUAUAACUCCAAGAAAAUGCCACCCAUGUUCAGCAGCACUCCAAAGGGCAUGUCCACUCACACCCCUGGGCCAACCUUCCUGAGCAGUCCCAUUGCCCUAGCCCCUCCUCCCCUACCCCAGCCCUCCCUCAACCCUACCCCAUUUCCCCAGGACUGUCCCGU